GACGAACGCUGGCGGCGUGCUUAACACAUGCCAGUCGAACGGAAAGGCCUGCUUUCCCUUGUGGAUUGCGGGUACUCGAGUGGCGAACGGGUGAGUAACACGUGAGUGAUCUGCCCCCAACUUGGGUAUAAGCCUGGGAAACUGGGUCUAAUUCCCGAUAGGACUGCAGGGUGGUGCCUGUGGUGGAAAACGAUUUUCUAGUGGUUGGGGAUGAGCUCGCGGCCUAUCAGCUUGUUGGUGGGGUAAUGGCCUACCAAGGCGGCGACGGGUAGCCGGCCUGAGAGGGUGGACGGCCACAUUGGGACUGAGAUACGGCCCAGACUCCUACGGGAGGCAGCAGUGGGGAAUAUUGCACAAUGGGCGGAAGCCUGAUGCAGCGACGCCGCGUGGGGGAUGACGGCCUUCGGGUUGUAAACUCCUUUCGACCGCGAGGAAGCCACCUGGUUGGAAGGGUGGUGACGGUAGUGGUAGAAGAAGCACCGGCUAACUACGUG
rnacentral:rRNA from 1 species